rnacentral:rRNA from 1 species
AUGGACACCAACUGGCGGCCCAUCCAAGGGUCGGACCCUGCCGCCGGCGGUGACUCGCCCCCACCGGAUCAGGCGAUUGGCGCGCCAAUCUGGAUCCAGCCCCAGGCGCGCACCAGGAUCGUCAAUAAGAUAUCCGAGGCUCUGAAGAGGCAUCUGCCAGUAUCUGCAGUGUCUCACCCAGAUGGACUGAACAAACUUCAACAAAUCGCUGUGCGAUUCGAACAGAGGAUCUAUGAUGCAGCAACCAGCCAGUCUGAUUAUUUCCGCAAGAUUUCUCUGAAAAUGCUCGUUAUGGGGACCAAGACACAACAGGCUCCUGGAAAUGAUCAAGUGAUUCCAAAUCAAAACAACUCCGGUGUCAAUCAAACAUCAAAGAUGCAGAAUAGGCAUCAACGGCCUUCUCUUCAGAGGCACCAGCCCAAUAUUACUUUACAACCACAGCAACAGCAUGCUCAGCAGCCCGCAAUGGGUUUGAUGCAACCUCGGUCUCAACCCAACCAACUUCAAGAAUCGCAACAGCACAUUAUGUCGCAGUUCCAGGCUCAGCCUAACCAACUAAAAAAGCAAUUAGGGAUGCACCAGCAAUUCUCCAUGCAGCAAAGAGUUCAAACUUCAGGAGGCAUGCUCUUGCAGCAAAAUAACAUGGAUCAGAAAAAUGUAUUUAUUCAGGCACAGAAGGGCCUUCAAGAGGCUUCCUCUAGUACAUCCGCGGACUUUACUGCUCAAUCAGGCCAUGCAGGUGCACGUGAUUGGCAAGAGGAUAUAUAUCAAAUGAUUCAGAGCUUGAAGGACCAAUACUUUGCAGAACUUAUUGAAUUGUUCAAUAAGAUAUCUGUGAAGCUACAUCAUGUUGACAGCAUUAUACCACGUCAAAAGCCAUCUGAACAGUAUGAUAGAAUGAAGAGCUUUAAAAUAAUGUUGGACCGUAUAUUACAAGUGCUGCAAAUGAGCAAGAGUACUAUCCAACCUGCUAUGAGGGACAAAAUUCCUCAAUACGAGAAACAGAUUAUCACUAUCUUGAAUUCACAAAGGAAGCCAGUGCAGCCACAAGUACAACAACAGCUCCAGCCACCUCCAGGUAAAUAA